rnacentral:rRNA from 1 species
GACGAACGCUGGCGGCGUGCUUAACACAUGCAAGUCGAGCGGUAAGGCCUUUCGGGGUACACGAGCGGCGAACGGGUGAGUAACACGUGGGUGAACUGCCCUGCACUUCGGGAUAAGCCUGGGAAACUGGGUCUAAUACCGGAUAUGACCUCCUAUCGCAUGGUGGGUGGUGGAAAGAUUUAUCGGUGCAGGAUGGGCCCGCGGCCUAUCAGCUUGUUGGUGGGGUAAUGGCCUACCAAGGCGACGACGGGUAGCCGACCUGAGAGGGUGACCGGCCACACUGGGACUGAGACACGGCCCAGACUCCUACGGGAGGCAGCAGUGGGGAAUAUUGCACAAUGGGCGAAAGCCUGAUGCAGCGACGCCGCGUGAGGGAUGACGGCCUUCGGGUUGUAAACCUCUUUCAGCAGGGACGAAGCGCAAGUGACGGUACCUGCAGAAGAAGCACCGGCUAACUACGUG